rnacentral:rRNA from 1 species
UACGUAGGGUGCGAGCGUUGUCCGGAAUUAUUGGGCGUAAAGAGCUCGUAGGCGGUGUGUCACGUCGGCCGUGAAAACCUGCAGCUUAACUGUGGGCGUGCGGUCGAUACGGGCAUCACUGGAGUUCGGCAGGGGAGACUGGAAUUCCUGGUGUAGCGGUGAAAUGCUCAGGUAUCAGGAGGAACACCGGUGGCGAAGGCGGUUCUCUGGGCAUGUCCUGACGCUGAGGAGCGAAAGUGUGGGGAGCGAACAGG